UACGUAAGUGGCGAGCGUUAUCCGGAAUUACUGGGUGUAAAGGGUGUGUAGGCGGCUUUUUAAGUCCUGUGUUAAAUCCCACGGCUCAACUGUGGGCUUGCGCGGGAAACUGGAAGGCUUGAGUAGAGGAGAGGUAACUGGAAUUCCUAGUGUAGCGGUGAAAUGUGUAGAUAUUAGGAAGAACACCAGUGGCGAAGGCGGGUUACUGGCCUCUUACUGACGCUGAGACACGAAAGCCGGGGGAGCAAACAGG
rnacentral:rRNA from 1 species